ensembl:lncRNA
GCGGGAAGGGAAGGGAAGGGAAGGGAAGGGAAGGGAAGGGAAGGGAAGGGAAGGGAAGGGAAGGGAAGGGAAGGGAAGGGAAGGGAAGGGAAGGGAAGGGAAGGGAAGGGAAGGGAAGGGAAGGGAAGGGAAGGGAAGGGAAGGGAAGGGAAGGGAAGGGAAGGGAAGGGAAGGGAAGGGAAGGGAAGGGAAGGGAAGGGAAGGGAAGGGAAGGGAAGGGAAGGGAAGGGAAGGGAAGGGAAGGGAAGGGAAGGGAAGGGAAGGGAAGGGAAGGGAAGGGAAGGGAAGGGAAGGGAAGGGAAGGGAAGGGAAGGCGCGGGAAGGGAAGGGAAGGGAAGGGAAGGCGCGGGAAGGGAAGGGAAGGCGCGGGAAGGGAAGGCGCGGGAAGGGAAGGGAAGGCGCGGGAAGGGAAGGCGCGGGAAGGGAAGGGAAGGCGCGGGAAGGCGCGGGAAGGCGCGGGAAGGGAAGGGAAGGGAAGGGAAGGGAAGGGAAGGGAAGGGAAGGGAAGGGAAGGGAAGGGAAGGGAAGGGAAGGGAAGGGAAGGGAAGGGAAGGGAAGGGAAGGGAAGGGAAGGCGCGGGAAGGGAAGGGAAGGCGCGGGAAGGGAAGGGAAGGGAAGGGAAGGGAAGGCGCAGGAAGGGAAGGGAAGGGAAGGGAAGGGAAGGGAAGGGAAGGGAAGGGAAGGGAAGGGAAGGGAAGGAAGGGAAGGGAAGGGAAGGGAAGGGAAGGGAAGGGAAGGGAAGGGAAGGGAAGGGAAGGGAAGGGAAGGGAAGGGAAGGCGCGGGAAGGGAAGGGAAGGGAAGGGAAGGGAAGGGAAGG